AUGGUGGCUGUCAAAGAGCAGACAAAUACUAAAUUGGGCAACACAAGGCUAGCUCUAUCUGACCUAAAGGUAGAACUUGAGAAGAAGAGAAUGGUUGACAAAUCAGUGACCAACAUUCAUCAGGUGGUCAGGGAAAAGGCAGAGAAAAAGAGGGAUGAGAUGAAGCAAGAGAAGGACAAAAUGAUAGAAGAGAGGGAUAAAUUGAAGGAAGAAAGGGAUGAGCUGAAGAAAGAGAUAAAGAAGCUAGAGUAUAUGAUUGGUGACCUGUGCAAGCAUAAGGAGGACACCAGGUGCAAGAUAAGGAAGGUUAGGGAGAUGCUAGAUGAAUUUGAGUGA
rnacentral:rRNA from 1 species